UCCUUUUUCCUUCCUCCCUUCUUCUUCCUUCCUUCUUUCCUUUGUCCUUCCUUCCUUCCUUCCUCCUUCCUUCUUUCCUUUCUCCCAUCCAUCCAUCCAUCUACAGAAGCAAAUGCCAACACCCAAGAAGUGGUGAAAAUCCAGCACAGCCUCCUAGAGAGAUCUCUGUACUACAUGGAAUAAAGAAAAACCAAUCUAAUACACGUUUGUAAAGAAGAAGGAAAAAUUCAAAACAAAAUGCUACGUUAAAAGCUGAUAUCUUACGUGCUUUCGUGACCUUCCAUUUUUUUACUUUUUUUUUUCCUUUAACCUCUGCAGGUCAGUGAUCCUCUAAAGAAAAAAGGAAAG